AAAUUGAUGCACAAUCUAGUAUCAAGUCAACUUAUCACACUGUGAAAGCAAAGAAGUUAUCCAUACCAUGACAUACACCUCUAGGCCUAGAACAAUUAAAUCACUCAUAACAAUUACAUGCAAAAAGUAAUUUUUUUAUUUCUUAUUUUUAAAUUCUAAAAUAAAAAAGAACUAAGAUAAAAACAAAAAACAAAAAACAAAAAU
rnacentral:lncRNA from 1 species